CGCGGCCCCGCAGCGCUGAGGGGAGAGCAGGCAAGGGCGGCGUGUCCCGAGGAGCAGCGGGCCCUGUAAGGCCGUGAAGGCGGUGUACCUCUUGUAUUUGAGGUCAGAACAGCGUCAAGAGAGGAAGGGUUCGGACGAGGCUGCCUCCUCGUUGAGGGCCGCAGCAGUAGGCGUCUGCGCCCAGCUGGGCUUCCCCAUCUCAGGCAUCAGUGGCUGCCAGGCCUCCUGCUGAUACCAUUCCGGAUGCUGAUGACCAAUCCCUCACUCAGACAAGGAGGCUGGAAUCUCCAAGGACAAGUGUUUUUCCAACCAUGUCUCAUCAGACCUUUGGAUAGACACUGCCAUUUUCUUCUCCUAACUGGAACAACAUGGAAGACCUUAUAUGUUCAGCUAAUGCCUAAUUCAAAAGUGGAGAGACUGCAGAUAUUUUAGGAUGAGUAGUUCACAGCUUCCAUCCAUCAGUGAGAUCCA